GGGGGGUUUUGCUUUUCCCCUUUUUUUAUUUUCUUUUCUUUUCCAAAUUUGUUUUCCAAGGCUUUCUCAAAAUAGUUUGAGUUCUUUUAAUUCUCCAACAAAUCACACAGCACAAAAAUAAUUAUUCUCCAGCAUGAAUGCACAAUCAAGUUUACGAAACUUAUGAUGAAUUUUAAUUCCAACAAAAUUUAUUUGAUUACUACAUUUAAAUGCUCACAAAAAUGCUUAAAUAAAUCCAAUUAAUUCCUAUAAUCGAAAUAAAAAUUUUGGGUGUUACAGGAACUGUCAAAUACAGCCACACUCUAUUUUCUGUAGACCAUUUUCAGGUACACAAAAGUUGUGGACGGCAAUUCUUGAUGAGACUAUGCCAAGGCCAUCAACACUCACUAUAUAUUAGUCCCAAGCCUCCAUUCAAGGUGCAAGUUAAACUUUAUUCCAAAUCCUUUUGGUUUCCACCUACAAGGCUCAUACUUAGUUCAUGUGAUUGUAGAUUGAAACACCUUGCUAUUAUGGAAGAAAAAGAUCGUGAUGUUAUCGCAAAACUACAAGUCAAUGGCCUAGCACAAUUCUUUAGAUCGGAAGAGUUAGAGUCAA
rnacentral:lncRNA from 1 species